UUUUGCCACACGCACAUUCCUGGUAGAUUACUUUGUAACGUUAAUGCUUUAUUUCUACUGUUUAGCU